rnacentral:rRNA from 1 species
UACAGAGGAGCCAAGCGUUGUCCGGAUUGACUGGGCGUAAAGCGCACGCAGGCGGAUGCGCGCGUGGGGUGUGAAAUCUGGCCGCUUAACGGCCAGGCGCCAUCCCAUACGGCGCGUCUGGAGUGAUGCAGAGGUCGAUGGAAUUGCCGGUGUAGUGGUGAAAUGCGUAGAGAUCGGCAGGAACACCCAGGGGGAAACCAGUCGGCUGGGGACGUGCUGACGCUCAGGGGCGAAAGCGUGGGGAGCGAACCGG